UUGUCUUUCGACAUUGUCUUUCUUCAUUCAGUCGUGGUAGUGUGGAGGUACAGUGUGUGGCGUUGAUGGUGUGAGGAUGAGUUGGUGACUAAGGCGGCUCGUUGAUUGAUUUUUGGUACGGUUGGAGCUUCUUUUGAGUGAUUCUCAUGGAAGGGUGUUGGUGGACGGUGAUUGGGGAUUUUAUUACGACUGCCGUGGAGUAGAGAGGGUGUUCCCGCUACUUUGUUGCGUUGAGGGAUUGCAGUAAGGGCCCUAGAAGUUGUUUGGGUAAGGAGAUUGCUUUUAUUGAAAUGAAGAUGGUUGCAGUUGCUAUACUUUGGAGGUUUUAGAUAAAGGUGGUUGAUGGUCAUCCUAUAACAGCAAGGGUCUCUAUGUUGCUUACCAUUGAACAAGGGUUGAAGGUGAAAGUUACCAAAAGAUGCACCUGAUAUCUAUAGAGAUCAUUUCAAAACCAAAUGAUAUACUUUUAGUUUCCGCUUUCUUUGUUACGGCUAAAUAAUGUUGUUAUCUUAUAAAAUUUUGAAUUUGAAGGAUUUUUUAACAAGUCUUACUCAC